UGUAGGAAUUCAGGCUCACUCAGGCGGAGGCUAUGCGUCUCACCUGUGGUCACGAGUUGUUAGUUCGUUCGUGAUGUAGGAAUUCAAGCUUUCGGGCGGAAGCUAUGGUCGACGCCAGAGGCCACGAGUCGUUUAAUUUAAGUUAGGUCAUAAUGUAGUCGUCAAGCUUUCGGGCGGAGGCUAUGGCCCUCGUCAGGGGUCACGCGUCAUAGUUUUUAAAAUGUAAUGUUCGUUCGGGAUUUCAAGGGCAGGAGAGGCCCCUACGUUAUUUUUUUAAAGUAAUCGAUCAAGAAAGGCUUUUCGGAAAAUGUGAGUAUGGACUUAUCUUUGUUUUAAUUUUAAGUAUUAAUUAUGAUUUGAGGUAUUCGGAAGGACUAGGGAAGUGUUUAGUGAAGUUCUCUCAUUCUCUCUCUUGUAAGGUCGUUCAAUCGUUAAGGAAGUAAAGAGAUUAUUGUUUUAAAUUGUAAUCCCGCUAUUUAAAUGUUCUUUAAAAUGAUGUUGAGUAUUUGACUUUAAGAAUAAAAUAAUUUUAAUUAAGUAUUAUGUUAUUUUGCAAAAUCUCCUUAGUUCAGCUCUCACCAGACAUCCUGUACGGGAUGACGAACCUAUGAUCCUAGGUACAGUAAAGUAUUUUAUGAAGUUAAGACUAGUUGAUGCCAAGCGAGUUGUUUCUAUGUAAAGAGCUACGAUUCUCGCCCCCCCCCUCUGAAGGUGGAUCGUGACAGAAAUGGCGGUGGCACCGGCUAGGUGCACGUGACAGAAAUGGUAGAGUUCGCCGGAUAGGUUCUAUUUCUGGAGAGAGAGAGAGGUAGAUUUUUAUGUUUAUUAUUAAGUUAGUUUCAGCUUCUGAUAGCAGGUUAUUAAGAGUUUACUUGAGGAGAGGAUUACGGAAUUUUAGUCUAUAGUGGAGGAAGUCUUUGAGAUUUUUUUUUUGACGUAACAGAUGUUUAUUUGAGGAUACUUGUAAGGAUAAAGUUUAUAGUGAUAAGUUGUUUUAAGUCGUUGAAUUUAUUGUAGAUUUAUAUCGGGGAUUAUUACGUGAGGAGAAUACGUUAUAAGUUAAAUGCUUAUUAGAGAUAAUGCAAGUGGUUUAAUUUAAUUGAAAUUAAUUUUAAGAUUGUAGGUUAAGAGAGUUAAAAUUUAAAAUAAAGUUUUUUUCGUAAAUAGGAAUUACUUUCAAGUGAAGUUUGUUUUGUUUUCGUGCGCGUAGGAGACGAGACGUACGAAUUAAAUCAGUCGAGGGAAGGAUAAACGUUAGAAAGGAAUUAAAAAGAAAACGAGAGUUUAUGUAAAAGAGAGUUAUAGAAUUUAUAGUGAUGUUUUGUUUUAAUUAGAAAAAUGUUGAGAGUUGUUUCAGAACGACACGUCAGUGGACGUGGCAGAGUGAACACGUGACGGGGAGGUGCUGAGACCUAGCGGAGAACGGAGGAACCGCAAGCGAGGGUUGGCGCACCUGAUGGAAUUCGGUGACGUCACGGGCUCAUACGGAGACGUGGACAGGCCGUGACCUUGUUUUGAUCAGCUGUACGGUAACUUAGCGAUAAGAAAAUAGACUAUUGGUUAAAUAAAUUUAAAUUUAAGUGUGUUUUAGGAGAAGAGGAACUUUCAGUAUAUUCCUUAAGAUGAGCUGAGCAGCAGUCCAGUUUACAAGAUGACAAGAGUUCGAGAGACAAGAUACAAGAUCACUGAAACAAGAGCCAAGACUGAAGAUUCAAGAGAAGAGAAAGCUGGCAGCCAUGGACUUACAAGUGGAGAUUAAUAAGGUUAUGUAAAGUUUUAUUUUUUUAUGGAAGACAGUAACUGGAGUUUUUUUGUUAUAAACAUUAUUUACAGAACUUUUUAGGUUAUAGUAAUGUAAUGGAACUAGUGAGUUGUGGUAGCUGUCAAAAAGAACUAAUACCUUAAGUUUAAUUUUUAAAGUUAAUUUUCUUAAUUUACAGAGGGAUUAGUAGUUUUUUUUAAAACCUUAUUUAGGUUGGAAUUUAAAUACAAUAGCUUAUUAUAAAUGUGUACGAACAGUUCAAGUUCACAGUACUGAUAGGUAGGUCAGAUGAUCUUAUUGAUUUUGAUGAUUUGUUGUUUUGAGUUGAUUUUUAAGUGUUGUGAAUUAGACAAUGAAAUAGUUCUGAAAACUUAAAUUAUUUCAAGCUAAGAAAUAGUAAAGUUAAUUGUAACUCAAAGGACACCAGAAUUUAAUUUUUUUUGAAUUAGUAAUGUUUGAAAAUUUUAUACUUUACAAGAAAGGUUAUAAACAAACAGAUCGGAUGGAACAAGGAUGCAGUAAAUCACAAUUUCAUUUAGAAUUAUUGAUUAGCUUUUGAGGUUAUGAAGUAAAAGUAAUUAUAGUUUAAAAGUUUGAAUAAAAAAAAUGUUUUUUUUUAUUUGUUUGAAAUAGAAAGUUUAAAAGUUAAUUAGUCAUGAUCUAGGUGGGUGAUGGGGUGGGAAUUGGCCACUCUUUUUCCCUAUAACCUCCCUAACAUGGCCUUCUAUUACAACUAACAGAAAUAAAGAAGAAGAAAAAUGAAGAAUUAUUAGUUAGAAUGUUUCUUUCAUGAAGAUACCUGAUGAACUUUUACUGUUUGGAAGAAUAGAAGCAAGGUUAGUCAGAUAUUUUUACUCA